GGACGCUUUCCGGAGCUGCGGAGGUAAGGGAUCGGCGGGUGAUUUGGGAGGUAAAUUGGAGGCAAAACUAGGAGAGACACCUGGCUUUAAAAUAUCCCUGGACGACCGAGAGCGGUAGCACACGCCUGCCAUCUGAGCGCUUGGGAAGCAGAGGCACGAACAAUGGACACCCAGAAAGAUGUUCAACCACCAAAGCAGCAGCCAAUGAUAUAUAUUUGUGGAGAGUGUCACACCGAAAAUGAAAUAAAAUCCAGGGAUCCAAUCAGAUGCAGAGAAUGUGGAUACAGA
rnacentral:lncRNA from 1 species